rnacentral:rRNA from 1 species
UACGGGGGGAGCAAGCGUUGUUCGGAUUUACUGGGCGUAAAGGGCGCGUAGGCGGCCACUGCAAGUCGGUUGUGAAAUCUCCGGGCUUAACCCGGAAAGGUCAAUCGAUACUGCAGGGCUAGAGUGCAGAAGGGGCAACUGGAAUUCUCGGUGUAGCGGUGAAAUGCGUAGAGAUGCGGAGGAACACCGAUGGCGAAGGCAGCCCCCUGGGCCGACAUUGACGCUCAGGCACGAAAGCGUGGGGAGCAAACAGG